UACGUAGGGGGCUAGCGUUAUCCGGAAUUACUAGGCGUAAAGGGCAGGCAGGCGGAUCCAUAAGUUUAUCGUUUAAGGCGUCGGCUUAACCGGCGUAGGGCGGUAGAUACUGUGGAUCUGGAAUGCGGUUGGGGAAGACAGAAUUCCUGGUGUAGCGGUGGAAUGCGCAGAGAUCAGGAGGAAUACCGAAGGCGAAGGCAGUCUUCCAAGCCGUUAUUGACGCUCAACUGCGAAGGUGUGGGUAUCAAACAGGAUUAGAUACCCCCGUAGUCCCUGAG
rnacentral:rRNA from 1 species